UCACGUGGUACAGGCGGCUCGCGAGGCUUCAAACGUCAGCACAUACGUCAUCAACACAAGCCUCGAUACGCGCUUCACAGAAAUCAUCCUGGAUUACUCGGCACACGCUUCAAAGCCUCGACACGGGAGGACACAUCACUAGUUGCAGGGUCAGGGGUCAAGUCUGCACGCUCAAGACAUGAGGACAGAGGGAUUCUCCUGGAAACUAUCAGGAUUUAAACCAGAAAUCUUCUGUUGGGAUGCCUAAGAGAUCUGGAAGAGGGAGUCUGCAUGGAAGGAGGAAACAAUCUAAUCUGGGAACAGACAGAAGGAGAAGAAGAAGAAUCAUCAGACUGAGAAGAGAAGCCAAGUUACAGAUGUGAGAACCGCUGCCCACUGCAGAGUAUUGCUUCAGAUGCUUACUCAGGAAAAGGAAACCUUCUGCAAAACUGAAAGGAAACUUGUGUUAUUCUUAAAAUAUCAGGAAACUCAUGUGAAAAGGUGGCUGUAUGAUGCUAGCUGCCCUUACAUUAAACAUAUUCUGUGCUAAUCAAAAUA